rnacentral:lncRNA from 1 species
CCCCCUUUGGCCCUGUGCCCCUCCCCCUUUGGCCCUGUGCCCCUCCCACUUUGGUCCUGUGCUUCCCCCCCCCUUUGGCCCUGUGCUUCCCCCUCCUUGGCCCUGUGCCCCCCUUCAGCCCUGUCCCCCCCUUUGGCCCUGUGCCACCCUCAGCCCUGUGCCCCCCUAAAUACUUAGCUAAAUACUUAUCCAUCGGAUCCAUCUUUUUUUAUAAGUAUUAAAAAAAAAGAUGGAUCCAGUGGAUAAGUAUUUAGUUAUAGCUAAAUACUUGUCCAUUGUAUCCAUCGGAUCCAUCUUUUUUUAUAAGUAUUAAAAAAUAAAAAG